rnacentral:lncRNA from 1 species
ACUAUUGAAGGAGCUUUAGCCGCUGCAAAUCUUAUCCUUCCUCCCUCCAGGUUUUCUUCAGUGUCGAAAUUGGUAUGGAGACGUGGAUGGAGAUUUGAGUCUUAGGAAUUUGGGAAGAGCUCAAGUGAUUCAGAAUGAAAAGACCUUGGCACAGACCUGUUAAGGAAGCUCCAUAUAAGGGCCACCGGGGUUGGCUGAGUCAGAAUACCAGCCAUGUGGCAUGUCGCAUGGGGCAAGAGCUGUGCUGCCCAUGGGAGUCCAGAGAAGGAGCACACUAAGGACCAACACCAGAGAGAAGACAGCUGUCUGCAAACCAGAAAGAGAGUCCUCACUGCACUUCAUAUCUGCCAAUGGAUCCUUGCUCUUGAACCUCCCAACCUGCAGAAUCAUGAGAAACAAACAUUGUCAUUUGCUCUAGGGGAAGCCUGCAGCUAUGUCAUGAGGACCCUCAACAGCCCUGUGCAGAGGACUAUGUGGCAUGAAAGAUACCUUCUGCCAACAACCAGCCCCAACUUGCCAAGCAUGUGAACAAGCUAAACUGAAAGCAGAUCUUCAGCCCCAAUCAAGCCUUCAGAUGACAGUAACCUCAGCCAAUAUACUGACUAUAACCUCAUAAAAGACCCUGAACCAGAACCCUCUAAGCCACUCUCAAACUCUACCCCACAUAAACUGUGAAAUAAUAUAUGUUUAUUGUUAUUUUGGGCCACUAAGUUUAGGGGUAAUUUGUUAUGCAGCAAUUAUAUAACCAAUAUUCCAACUAAAGCUGAAAUGCCUCCUGCAUUUCCUCCCUCAGUGGCCUACACUACAAUCCAAGUUCAGGAAAAAACGAGAACCUUAUUUAAGGUAGUGGCAAGAAAUGAAUGGAUUAACUGGACAUUUAAAAAGUAUUUGAUAGAACUUGGUGAUAGGAGGUGGGGCAGUUAGGGACUAGCAGGAAUUUAGGAUGAGAGGCUCAUUCAGUUGGGCUUAUGUUUUACUGAGGUCAAUUCCAAAAGGAAGGAAAGAAAAAUCCAGCCAAAUAACCUUUAAUGGACUAAGUCUUCUUUCAUAAGUCAGUUUGCACAACUUCUUCACAGGAAUCAGAUUUUAAAUAUCAUAACUGAAGAGAAAAAAAACAGCAAGAGGAGUUUACCUUUAUGGUGGAAUGACACUAAUCUUUCAUGCUUUCAAAUUUCUUGAAAUUUCCUUCGUAUGCAUUAUCUUAUUUGCUGUUCACAGUAAAACUGUGUAUUGGCUAAGCCAGUUUUUAUGAAAAUAUAAGCAGUGAGAAAAAGUAAGAUAGUAUGUCAGUUAGUAGAUUUUUUUAUGGACAUUGUGACAGAGGACACAACUUAAACUGGCUUUUUUUUUUUUUUUUUUUUUUUUGAGACAGAGUUUUGCUCUUGUUGCCCAGGCUGGAGUGCAAUGGCACGAUCUCGGCUCACUGCAACCUCCGCCCCCUGGGUUCAAGUGAUUCUCCUGCCUCAGCCUCCCGAGUAGCUGGAAACACAGGUGCCUGCCACCGCGUCCGGCUAAUUUUUUGUAUUUUUAGUAGAGAUGGAGUUUCACCAUGUUGGCCAGGCUAGUCUCAAACUCCUGACCUCAGGUGAUCCACCUGCCUCAGCCUCCCAAACUGCUGGGAUUACAGGUGUGAGCCACCGCACCUGGCAAAAGGGUUUUGUUUCUAAAGGUACAAGAACAGGUACAGCUUCGGGUCAGUGUGAUUCAGCCCUCAACAAAGCCACCAGGAUCCAUUUCUUGGCUCUGCUUCAUUGCUUCUCAUAGGCUGGCUCAUUCUCAGACUGUACGUGAUAUGGUUCAGUGGCUUUAGGCUCCAAGCAUGACAACACCCAACACUCAGAUUGAUGGAGCUAGAGCAAGUCUCUUCAGGCAGCGUCUAGGAAAGUUCUGAAAUUCACUCUGAUUGGCUGCCCAUCUCUGAAUCAACCACGUAACCCAAGGAAAUAGGAACUGCUGAUGGGUCAGGGUCGGUUCACAUGCUUCAUACCUGGAGCUGAGAAGACAUCAACUCCAUCCUGGAGCUCAUGGGCUGUGACUAGAGCAGACGGAGUUCUCAGAGGAAAGUCAGAGUACAGUUAUCAAAGCAAGCAGUUACAGAUGCUAGAUGACCAAAAUCCAAUAACUGCCCAGUAAAAAUAUUAUACUAAAAUCUAGGAACAUGUGGCUGAUGGACAGUCAUUACCAGGAAAAAAAAGUUGUUAGGUCUAAAUGUAAAAAUUGAGGCAAAGAAAGUGCCCGAGCUAGAAUUAGAACCCUGACUACCUGAAUAUUAGAUCGGUUAGUGCCACUUCUACCCUACCGCUGCUGAGGGGGGAGGUGAACAGUCUCUCAGGUUGCAGACAGUGGAUGGUUUCCCUCCCUCUAUCUUCUCAUUUCAUGGUGGAGCUGAAUCAUCCUAUGUUCUACAUGCUGACAGUGGAAGGUUAUGACCAUACCCAUAUCCUGUUGUCUCUGAGUCUCCUGUGGUGCAGAGAUCCCUGAGACUUGUAGAACAGAACCUGAGUGGAAAGUGGGAGGGGGAUUGGGGGUGGUUCCCACGAAUCAAGCAGCAACCUGGAGACAAGGAACACCUGCAACCUCAGCAGUGGAUCAGAACGGCUGACUGAGCAAUGGACAUACUGUGCAUCUUUCAUUAGUGCUGAGACCAACUUCUAGCUUGGAGUCCCAUGAAAGGGAAACUUAGCCCUAACACCACAACAAGGAGCACAGUGUCAAGUGGGGACAUUGCAGCAGAGUUGCCGCAAAGACUCUGAAGUGCUAUGGGAAGGGAUAUUUCCUAGGAGGGGUUAAAGGGAUUCUCCUUAAGAAGGGGGCUGGGGGAAUCUGAGUAAGAGGUGGGGGAAAGCAGCCAAAGCAUGAUACUUAGUCAUAGCAUCACAAGAAUUUGACUCAGAGUUCCUACAAGGUUGUCCUAAAAUGCCCUGGUUCAGGUGGGUCAGCUUUGAAAGCACCCAAAUUACCCCGUUUUCUGUACUAUGUUUAAAGGCAAUUUGAAAGAAAGACCCCUAAUUUGGAAACAUGUGCUAAGGCUAAAUCACUUUUUCAACUGAAAAUUCUUUUUUAUGUAUUGUUACACUCCAUUUUCUGUCUUGUGUUUUUUGUUGUUGUUGUUAUUUGUUUCUUUUUUCUUUUUCUUUCUUUUUUUUUUUUUUUUGAGACAGAGUCUCGCUCUGUCCCCAGGCUAGAGUGUAGUGGCGCGAUCUAGGCUCACUGCCACCUCUGCCUCCCAGGUUCAAGCAAUUCUCUUGCCUCAGCCUCCUGAGUAGCUGGGAUUAUAGGCGCCCACCACCACACCCAGCGACUUUUUGUAUUUUUAGUAGAGAUGGGGUUUCGUCAUGUUGGCCAGGCUGCUCUUGAACUCCUGACCUCAGGUGAUCUGCCUCCCUCGGCCUCCCAAAGUGCUGGGAUUACAGGCGUGAGCCACCGCACCCCAGCCCAUUUCCUGAAUUUCAGGGGGAGUGAAUUAAUUCUAAUAUAGAGAGUGGGUAAAAGGACCAAUUUUUUCAUUACUAUUUGACUUCAUAUCAUCUUGCUUUGCAAUGCCCUGGUUUUUACAUCUAUAAAUCAGAAAUGAUAAGCAACCUGCUUUAUAGGAAUGCAAUGAAGAUAAGGAGAUACAAUAUAAAAAUAUACAUUGAGUCAGAAAGACAGAUAACACUAUUUAAACCAGUGUAUUCUUAUAAUCCUCAUUAUUACUAAGAAUGAUGUUAACAGUUAUGAUAAAAAGUCAACAUGCAGAAAGAAGAGAAUAAAGUAAUUUCUAGUUUGGGCCAAGAUGUACUCUGUAGACAUGAAUUUUUAAAAGAUGAGUGGUUAACACUUAGCAUUUGAUUCUGUGCUUGUUAUAAGUGAGCAACUGAGAAUUUCUAUCUUUUGGAGAGAGAGAGAGAGAGAGAGAGAGAGUGUGUGUGUGUGUGUGUGUGUGUGUGUGUGUGUGUGUGUUAUACAGGGAACAAGCAUUAUUUUGCAUUUGAGGUCAAAACUGGAGAAAUCAGGGAGACGUCAAGUUUUGUUCAUUAACUUUCAUACCUUUCUAACAACAGCCCCCAGAUUAAACCAAUCUUCUACUGUCAAAUUUGGGGACAUUUUCUUUAGUGGAUGGUCAUAAAUCUUGAGGGGAAUAUUGCUCACUUCUUUUAAGAAUUAAUGGUGAUUCCUAGGUGGGAGUAUGGAGUCAUGUAUCAUACCCUGAAGCAUUAUGUUUUUCCCAGCAGAGAUGCUCAAUAGAAGUCUGGAAGCUUUUGCGGCUGCCAGCAAUUUCAUGGUUACUGUCCGAAGCAGAAAGGGCACAUCAUCAAAUUCUUCCUUCUAAUGCAAUUUUGCCUUCCUGGAAUUUGUACUAUUUUUCUUACAUGGAUAGGGAAUUUUUUUUGAGAGUGCACAGUCAUGUUAAAGUAAAUACCCUGGAGAAAUACUUUCAAUUAAAAUUCAGAAGUUUUAAAAUCCAGGCUAGAAAGGAUUUCCCUGACCUACAAAACCUAAUAAGAUAUUUUUUCUUUCCAUUUUCUCCCUCCUCAUUCCCCUAAGUGUGUGGAGCUGUCCUGCUUUCUUACCUGGUGGCCCCAUUUAGCUUUGCCUUCUAGACAUUUAAGUCAGAAAAUGGCUUUAAAGAAUGUUUUGAGAAAACUUGACAUACUGAUCUACUCUCAACUCAAUGAUUUUCUUUUUUUUGAGUGGAAAAGAGAAAGAAACCACAGAAGCAAAGCAAUAAUAAAAUCUUUUAGUCAAGUAAGAAAAAUUUGACCAGGAGAUACAGAGAUAGUAUUUGUGGUGAUUGAGGCAGUUAAUACCAGAAAAGUUUAGAAAGCAGAGAUUUUGAGGCCCGAAGGGAGGGGAGUCAAACAGGCAGCAAGUCGACGUGGAGCAAGAUAGUCUUAUGUUGGAGAGUGGCCCUCUCCUCUGUGGGGCCUGGGCCUGGCAUUUCAUCUCUCGGUUGGGCUAUGAAUGCCUAGGUUGCAGAAUUUCUUAGUGAGUUUUGCACAUUAUAUAUGCAACACACCUAUGCAAUAUGAGUACAGUGCCUCAAACCUAGGUACUCAGUUAUUUAGAGUUACCAUUGUAAAAUAUUAAAUGCCUGGGUAUGAAAGAAUGAAAAUCUCUUCCUCUCUCAAUGUGUUCUCGGGAUUAUGGCUUUAAAAAAUAGCUGUUCAACUAAAACUAAUUAAAACUUCCAGGUUAGAACCUAGAAGCAGACAUACAACGACUAAAAUGAGUGCAAGAGGAUAAUGGUGUCCAUUAGAGAUUAUUCUUACUCAGAGGCAGGGCUAGGACUAGGGAGAGGCAAGAGAAGCAUCCAGGGUGAACACUUAAGAGGCACCCAGCUUCAGGGCCUGCAGGCACUAAGCCUGAGCUUGCACAACACUGAGAGUGCGACUCCAUGCCCUACCCUAGGCCCUGUCCUGUUCAAAGGACAUCCUACCUGGCUCAUUGGCAGGAUAUCUUGCCCCGUCCCCAAUGGUUUCUUUCACACUCGCAAUACCUGGAGACAAAACAGCCACCAUUGUCAGACUUCUUUGACUUUCCAAACAAACUCCAGAAAGAUCAUUACAGGACCCAGCAUGAGAAGGGAAACCGAGGUGCAUUGAAAGCAAUAAAAUUUAACCGCAGAGAUGAUUUCAUGUUCAAUCAUCAAAAUACACAGAGGGACUUGCUAAAAUGUCCACCGUUGAGGGUAACAACCCAUGACCUUAUUCUUUCUCACACCAGCCUUAGUAUAUAUAAAUGCUAAGAAUAGCAAACAGGAUCUUUUUUAUUGGCUUUUCAAGAACAACAUUGGGGCCUGGAAGACACCAGUCACCUUCAAAAACAAGCAACAAUAGGAAGCUUGAAGCUGUUGGUGCACAGCUUUCAACAUACACACUUUUUAAAAAAUAAUUUCAACUUAAAAAUUUUAGAUUUAGGAGGUACAUGUGUGGGUUUGUUACAUGGGUAUAUUGCAUGAUGCUGAGGUUUGCGGUACGAUUGAUCCCAUCACCCAGGUACUGAGCAUAGUUGCCAAUUGGUGGUUGUUUUUAACCCUUGUUCCACUCCCUUCCUCUCCAUUCGAGUAGUCCCUACUGACUAUUGUUGCCCUCUUUAGUCUAUGAGCAGCCAAUGUUUAGCUCCCCCUUAUAAGUGAGAACAUGUGGUAUUUGGUUUUCUGUUCCUGCAUUAACUUGCUUAGGAUAGUGGCCUCCAGCAGCAUCUAUGUUGUUGUAAAAGACAUGAUUGCAUUCUUUUUAUGGCUGUAUAGUAUUUCACAGUGAACAUAUUUUUCUUAGACAUUGUUUUCAAAACAUUUCAUUGCUUGAUUUGCUCAACCCCAUUCUCCAUCUAAAUCAUUUGUAAACAUAGCCUGAUAAUUACUUUGGAUUAAUUGGUAUUAUUUGAUAAAAUCAUACAAAGCUAGAUUUUUGAGAAUGGUAAUAUGUUAGGAAUGUGUUUGGCUAUGAGUAACAGAAAACCCAACUACAUGACUUUUAGCAUAGGGGUUUAUUUUUCUUAUGUAACAAGAUAUCCAGACUCAGGCAGUUUCUGGUAUAGGUUCAGUUCCUUAGUUCUCUGGGUCAUUCUCUCAUAAUAAUGACAUGGCUGGGUAGCUCCAACUACUGAGGCAGUAUAUAAGGCAGAGAGAAGGAGGGGCAGUGGAAGGAAGGCACACCAUGGUUGUCCCCUUUUACAAAGAAAGCAAAAGCUUCCCCAGCAACCCAUACCAGCCCCCCUCAUUAUGGGUUGAGUGUUGUCCUCUCCAAAGCCAGAUAUGUUUUUCCCAACCUCCAGUACCUCUGAAUCAGCAUAGUUUUUGUUCUUUGUGAAUCUGAACUUACUUGGAGAUAGGUCUUUACAGAGGUAAUCAAAUUAAAAGGGUGACGGUCAUUGGGGUGGACCCUAACCCAAUAUAAAAAAGGGAAAUGUGGACACAGAGACAUGCAUACUAGGAGAGAACCAUGUGAAUGAGAAGCAUGCAUCUACAAGCCAGGGAGAGAGGCCUGGAGUAGAUCCUUCCCUCAGAGCCAAGCUUACAAACAUCUUGAUUUCAGACUUCUAGCCUCCAGAACUAUGGGACAAUACAUUGCCUUUCCAGAAGCCACCCAGGUUUUGGUACUUUGCAAUGGCAGCCCCAGAAAACUAAUGCAUACCAGAAGACUUGUUUUCAUACAUUAUUAGCCAGAACUGUGCCCCUGGCUUCCCUGACUACAAGGGAGGCCAGGCAAGUAUAUAUUUAACUGAACAUAUUUCAAUCAGAGCAUUAGGAUUCUGGUAGCAAAGAAAAAAAGUGGGGGAAGGGCGUAAAUAAUCAAGAGCAUUUUCCACCAGGGAGAAAACGCUUGCACUUAAUGAGUGGCCACAGGAUGGGUAGCUCUCCCUCCAACACUAAUCAGAUUUGAAGUAACAGCAUGUUGGGGAUAAAGUUAGGCAGUAGAAAGAGUGCAAGGGGUUUGGGGACUAGCACUCACUUUGCCGCAACUUCCUACGUGGUUUCACACAAGUUGCUUUAACCUCCAAGCCUCAGCUUUUUUAAUCUGAUAAAUGGGAUUAAUAAUCUAUGCUCUUAGCAUUUUAAUAGAGCUUUUUUUUUUUUUUUUUUUUUUUUUUCCAGACGGAGUCUCACUCUGUCACCAGGCUGGAGUGCAGUGGCACGAUCUCGGCUCACUGCAACCUCCACCUCCUGGAUUCAAGCAGUUCUCCUGCCUCAGCCUCCCGAGUAGCUGAGACUACAGGCACGCAUCACCAUACCCAGCUAAUUUUUGUAUUUUUAGUAGAGACGGGGUUUCAUCAUGUUAGCCACGACAGUCUCGAUCUCUUGACCUCGUAAUCCACCUGCCUUGGCCUCUCAAAGUGCUGGGAUUACAGAUGUGAGCCACCGUGCCCGGCCAAUUUUUAUUAUUUUUGGUUUUUUUUUUUUUUUUUUUUUUUUUUUUUGAGAUGGAGUCUCACUCUGUUGCCCAGGCUGGAGUGCAGUGGCACAGUCUUGGCUCACUGCAACCUCCGCCUCCCAGGUUCAAGUGAUUCUCCUGCCUCAGCCUCAUGAGUAGCUGGGACUAUAUGUGCCUGCCACCACGCCCAGCUAAUUUUUGUAUUUUUAGUAGAGAUGGGGUUUCACCAUAUUGGCCAGGCUGGUCUCAAACUCCUGACGUUGUGAUCCUCCCACCUUGGCUUCCAAAAGUGCUGGGAUUACAGGAGGGCAGUUUUUAAAAGGGUUUAUCAUUCUAGUGUUGUCUAUCUACACUGCCCUCUGAGAUCUGAUGGGGUAAAGCAAAGGAUACCAACUAAGCUUGCAGGCUUUGGAGUCACCUCACCUGUUCCUAUCACUUAGAUGUUGUGUGGUCCAGGAUCAGUUACUUAACAUCUCUGUGCCACAGUUUUCUUAUAUGUGUAUAAUAGGUAUAUGAUUAGUAGCUAAAUGAGACAGUUGUGAGCAUGAAAUAAUAUAUGUAAAGCAUUCAGAACAGUGCCUGGCACAUAGCAAACUUUAUAUAUGUUAGCUGUUAUUAUCAGGCCUAUCCAAUUUAUAAGUGAUAUGGAAUCGAGAAGGAUAGCAAAUGUUUUAGACCAUAAAAUCAAGAAUCUAAAAAAGAUUUUGACAGAAAGGAAAUGAGCCAAAUAUAAAAAGAUGAAGUUUAAUAAGUACACAUAAAGGUCCUGUCUUGGGGUAAAAUAGCAAGAAUGAGGGAGGCCUAUAGGUUUUUAGUUUAUUAUAAAUUUAAUAUAAGUUAACCAUGAGAUGCACUUACAAAACAAAAUUAGAUUUAGGUUGCCUUGAUAGAAACACAGUAUUGGAAACAAAGGAAAAUAGAACCCAACUCUGUCUCUGCACUGGUUGGACCACACUUGAAAUAAUAGAUUUCCUUCUAGUAUUCCUCACAGCAGCCCCUGAAAAUUGAUAAUUGCCUUCACGUUCUUUAAGGGCUGGUAUAUGAAAAAGAAAAGAGAUGUAUUUUGGGGAUGCUACAGAAGACAGAACAUCCCCAAUAUGAAUAAAGUAGAGGUCUGCUGGACUACAGCUCAGUCUUAGAUGACUAUGAGCCACCUGGAAAUGGAAUGGCCUCCUUCAGGUGGGUUGCAUGGGGGCCCCUGCUCACCUAAAUGCUUAAGCCAUAGCUGGUGGGAUAAUUCGUGGUGAAGGAUGUUGCCAAGCAGACCAACAAGUAGGCAUCCCUACUGCUUUGAGGAAGGGGUAGGUACUCCCACAGAAGUCACAUGUUGGUUGCCCAUUGGCCAAAUUUGGUCUGCUAUUGUGUAGUUUUUGUUCUAUGUGAAAUAUUUUUUUUUUCUUGUAUAUCUGGAUUCCUUGUCAAAAUUUAAAAAUCAGGAGAUUUCACACAAAAAAAAUUCUUUUUCUUUUUUUUUGCUUUCUUUGAAAGAUAAGAUGAUCUAGCAGCACAUGGUGGAUCUGUAUUGUCACAGAUGGCUGGAGUUGAGCAGUAGCCAUCACCUUUAAAUGGAAUGUGCGUCCUCCAAUUAUCCAACAUCCUCACCUGGCCCACCUUACUCAUUGAGGUUACCUGUCUGGUCCAUAAGCAUUUGAGUUUGUGAUUCACAUGCCGGUCUCUAGGGGCUUCCCUUACCCUGAGGGUCUAGACAUUUCCUUAGUUUUGUCCUGCAAACAUUAGGAGAAAUUAGUUAAAUCUGUGGAAGUGUGGGUAAAAUUCAGAUACAUGUAGAGACUGGGGAUGUGUUACAGAAUAACUGCAAGUUUUAGAAAACACUGACAUAGCAAAUGUUUAAAGCUAAGUCUACAUUAAGGAGCAAAAAACAUUAAAAAAUUUUAUUUGAAUUUUGGUUGCAAUCUACAUGUUCUAAAUAUAUAUGGUUCUUGCUGAUAUCUCCCUAAUCUUUGAACCCGUUCCAUUCUUCAUAAGUCAUCAUGGAUCCUUGCAUUGUAUUUAUUGAUGGAUGGAUGGACAAAUGGAUAGAAAUCAUGCAGGAAGGAUGGAGAACAUAGAGAAAAAUGUAACCAAAUGAGUACUAUUGUUUCUUUCUGUGACAUAUGAUCAUGUAAUAAGUGUGUAUUAAGUAUUCUGUGUCAAGCAUGGUGCCAGGUUUUAGGGGAUGCAAAAAAGGAGUAAAAAACACAGACAUGUUCUGAGGACCUUGUUACUUUUGCCCUUAUUGUUAGUUUCAGCUUAAAAGUUAGGACUCUAAAAUUUGAAAUCCAGGCUCAUUGGGUUCAAAUCCAGGCUGUACUCCUUCUGUGCUCUGUAAUUUUGAGCAAUUUACUUAACCGCUUAAUAAAAUAAGGAUGAUGCCAAUAAUAUCUAUUUCCUGAUGUUGUUUGGAGGAUUAAAUGAGAGAAUCAUGUAAGAGCAUUUAGUACAGCACUCAGCACUUAGUGAGCAUUCAAUAAAUUAUUCUAAACUAGCUUCCUUCAAUACCUGCAGAAGGAACAUCAAAAUGAGAAAAGAAGGUUCAUUUGUGUGGACACACAGACACACACACACACACACACACACCCUCACUCAAAACUGGUCUUACUUUCACACUUCUUUUCCCUUUCCUCCUUCUCCCCUUUAUCUGCUGCCUCCUCCACCUCUUUUCUCUAUGACUUCAAAGUUAAUUUUUUUAACAAUUUAUCAUCAACUUUUUAAACAUAUAGCAAUGUUGAAAAUUUUUUCCAGUAAAUAACCAUAAAUAGGUGAGAUUCUGUGCUCUAGGGGCAUUGAUUCACACUAAGCAAAGUUACAAGGAGCUAGAAUAACAAUGUAUAUCUACUAUAUUUCUUUCUCCCUUAUCCUCUGGUAUUUGACUUCUGUCUUUUAUUUAAUACUUUUUUUUUGUAUUGUAGUUCCUGUAUUUUAUUGUAUUUGUUCAUACUUCCUCUCUGGAAUAAAAGAAAUAAGAAACAAGUAUGUAAAUAAAUAAAAAUAGAUACUAUGUGUUUACAAAGGGAAAUCUCAUAUAAGUCAGUUCAUUCAAAA